AACGUAGGAGGCAAACGUUAUCCGGAGUUACUGGGCGUAAAGCGCGUGUAGGCGGCUUGGUAAGUCUGCUCUGAAAGCCCGGGGCUCAACCCCGGGAGGCGGGUGGAUACUGUCAAGCUCGAGUCCGGAAGAGGAGUGUGGAAUUCCUGGUGUAGCAGUGAAAUGCGUAGAUAUGCGGAGGAACACCGAUGGCGAAGGCAAUCCCCUGGGCCUGCACUGACGCUCAUGCACGAAAGCGUGGGGAGCAAACAGG
rnacentral:rRNA from 1 species